AUUUAACGCUGGCGGCAGGCCUAACACAUGCAAGUCGAACGAGUGGCGGACGGGUGAGUAAUGUCUGGGAAACUGCCUGAUGGAGGGGGAUAACUACUGGAAACGGUAGCUAAUACCGCAUACCAUCAGCUGCUCCCAGAUGGUAUUAGCUUGUUGGUGGGGUAACGGCUCACCAGGGCGACGAUCCCUAGCUGGUCUGAGAGGAUGACCAGCCGCACUGUAACUGAGACACGGGCCAGACUCCUACGGGUGGCAGCGGUGGGGAAUAUUGCACAAUGGGCUCAAGCCUGAUGCAGCCAUGCCACGUGUAUGAAGAAGGCCUUCAGGUUGUGAAGUACUUUCAGCGGGGAGGCGUUACCCGCAGAAGAAGCACCGGCUAACUCCGUGCCAGCCGCCGCGGUAAUAC
rnacentral:rRNA from 1 species